UACCAGCACCCCGAGUGGUCGGGACGUUUAUUGGGCCUAAAGCAUCCGUAGCCGGUUCUACAAGUCUUCCGUUAAAUCCACCUGCUUAACAGAUGGGCUGCGGAAGAUACUAUAGAGCUAGGAGGCGGGAGAGGCAAGCGGUACUCGAUGGGUAGGGGUAAAAUCCGUUGAUCCAUUGAAGACCACCAGUGGCGAAGGCGGCUUGCCAGAACGCGAUCGACGGUGAGGGAUGAAAGCUGGGGGAGCAAACCGG
rnacentral:rRNA from 1 species